rnacentral:rRNA from 1 species
CUACGGGGGGCUGCAGUAGGGAAUCUUCCACAAUGGGCGAAAGCCUGAUGGAGCAACGCCGCGUGAGUGAAGAAGGCUUUCGGAUCGUAAAACUCUGUUGUAAGGGAAGAACAAGUACAGUAGUAACUGGCUGUACCUUGACGGUACCUUAUUAGAAAGCCACGGCUAACUACGUGCCAGCAGCCGCGGUAAUACGUAGGUGGCAAGCGUUGUCCGGAAUUAUUGGGCGUAAAGCGCGCGCAGGCGGUCCUUUAAGUCUGAUGUGAAAGCCCACGGCUCAACCGUGGAGGGUCAUUGGAAACUGGGGGACUUGAGUGCAGAAGAGGAAAGUGGAAUUCCAAGUGUAGCGGUGAAAUGCGUAGAGAUUUGGAGGAACACCAGUGGCGAAGGCGACUUUCUGGUCUGUAACUGACGCUGAGGCGCGAAAGCGUGGGGAGCAAACAGGAUUAGAUACCCCAGUAGUC